UACGUAGGGGGGCAAGCGUUGUCCGGAUUUAUUGGGCGUAAAGAGCGUGUAGGCGGCCAUACAGGUCAGCUGUGAAAACUCGAGGCUCAACCUCGAGACGUCGGUUGAAACCGUAUGGCUAGAGUCCGGAAGAGGAGAGUGGAAUUCCCGGUGUAGCGGUGAAAUGCGCAGAUAUCGGGGAAGAACACCCCGUGGCGAAGGCGGCUCUCUGGGACGGUACUGACGCUGAGACGCGAAAAGCGUGGGGGAGCGAACAGG
rnacentral:rRNA from 1 species